rnacentral:rRNA from 1 species
UACGGAGGAGGCAAGCGUUAUCCGGAAUUAUUGGGCGUAAAGCGUCCGCAGGUGGCACUUCAAGUCUGUCGUCAAAGACUGGGGCUUAACCCUGGAAAGGCGGUGGAAACUGAAGCGCUAGAGUGCGGUAGGGGUAGAGGGAAUUCCCGGUGUAGCGGUGAAAUGCGUAGAGAUCGGAAAGAACACCUGGGGCGAAGGCGGCCAGCUGGGCCGUCCCUGACGCUGAGGCGCGAAGGCGUGGGGAGCGAACGGG